GUGUCAGCCGCCGCGGUAAUACAGAGGUCCCAAGCGUUGUUCGGAUUCAUUGGGCGUAAAGGGUGUGUAGGUGGCGCCGUAAGUCGGGUGUGAAAUCUCGGGGCUUAACUCCGAAACUGCAUUCGAUACUGCGGUGCUUGAGGACUGGAGAGGAGACUGGAAUUCAUGGUGUAGCAGUGAAAUGCGUAGAGAUCAUGAGGAAGACCAGUGGCGAAGGCGGGUCUCUGGACAGUUCCUGACACUGAGACACGAAGGCCAGGGGAGCAAACGGGAUUAGAUACCCCGGUAGUCCUGGCAGUAAACGGUGCACGUUUGGUGUGGGAGGAUUCGACCCCUUCUGCGCCGGAGCUAACGCGUUAAACGUGCCGCCUGGGGAGUACGGUCGCAAGAUUAAA
rnacentral:rRNA from 1 species